rnacentral:rRNA from 1 species
UGGGGGGAAAUUAAUAUAAUAAAAUAAAUAAUAAAAAUAAUUAUAAAAAAUAAUUAAUGGGGGUUAAAGUAUUUUUUAGAAAAAAAUUUAUUAAUUUAUAGUUUAAUAGUAUUGUAAAAGAAUUUUGAAAUAAAGUUAAAUAUUAAUUAUUAUUUAAGUAAAUUUAAUUUAUUGUAUCUUGUGUAUCAGAGUUUAUUAAUAAGUAUUAAUAAAUAAAAAUAUCUCGAAUUUAAAAGAGAUAAUUAAUUAUUAAAGUUAAUGUGACAUAAUUAUUUUAAAUAAUUAAUUUGAAAUGAAAUGUUAAUCGUUUUUAAAAAUAUCUAGUUUUUUUAGAAAAAAAUUUAAUUUUAAAUUAAUUUAAUAAUUUUUUUAAAUUUGUUAUAUAAAAUUAUAUAUUUAAUUAAAUAUUUUAGGGGAUAAGCUUUAAAUUAAAUUUUUAUAAUUUUUAAUAAAAUAUUUAAAUAUUUUAAAAUUUAUAUUUUUUAUAAAUUAUAAUUUUUUAUAAAUAAUUUUAUUUAUUUUAAAAUUUAAAUUUAUAUUUAAAUUUAUAUAAAAAAAUAAUUUUUAAUAAUAAAAAAUUAGUUAUAAUGAUAAAAUUAGUAUAUAAAAAAAAAUAAAAUAAAAUUAAUUAAAAUUAAUAAAAAGGAAUUCGGCAAAAAUUUAUAUUCACUUGUUUAUCAAAAACAUGUCUUUUUGUUAAUAAUAUAAAGUCUAAUCUGCCCACUGAAAUUAUUUAAAGGGCUGCAGUAUAUUGACUGUACAAAGGUAGCAUAAUAAAUAGUCUUUUAAUUGAAGACUUGUAUGAAUGAUUUGAUGAGAUAUAAUCUGUCUCUUUAUUAAAAUUAGAAUUUAAUUUUUUAGUUAAAAAGCUAAAAUAAUUAUAAAAGACGAGAAGACCCUAUAGAGUUUUAUAAUUUUAUAAUUUUAAUUUUUUUAUUAAUUUUAAAUAUUAAAAUUAUAAAAUUAUUUUGUUGGGGUGAUAAAAAAAUUUAUUAAACUUUUUUUAAAAAAAUUACAUUAAUUUAUGAAUAAUUGAUCCAUAAUUUAUGAUUAUAAGAAUAAAUUACCUUAGGGAUAACAGCGUAAUUUUUUUUUUUAGUUCUUAUAAAAAGAAAAGUUUGCGACCUCGAUGUUGGAUUAAGAUAAAAUUUAAAUGCAAAAGUUUAAAAUUUUUGAUCUGUUCGAUCAUUAAAAUCUUACAUGAUCUGAGUUCAAACCGGUGUGAGCCAGGUUGGUUUCUAUCUUUAUAAAAAUAAAAUAGUUUAGUACGAAAGGAUCAAUUAUUUUAAAUAAUUUAAUUAAAAGAAUAUUUUUAAUUUAAUUAUAA